UUUCAAAUCAGUGAAAUUAAUCUCCCCGUGAAGAAGCGGGGAUACUCAUAUAAGACGAGAAGACCCCAUGGAGCUUCAAACCCAACUACACCCCUAGCUCUUAUAGCCCCACAACCCCCCUAGGCACCGUGUGCUUGGUUUUAGGUUGGGGCGACCGCGGAGUACAAUAAAACCUCCACAAUGAAUGGGAACACCCCCUUAUCUGAGGGCCACACCCCCUAAGAAUUAGAACACUAACAUAAAAUGAUCCAUUACUUGAUCAAUGAACCAAGUUACCCUGGGGAUAACAGCGCAAUCCAUUUCAAGAGCCCCUAUCGACAAAUGGGUUUACGACCUCGAUGUUGGAUCAGGGUACCCCAGUGGUGCAGCAGCUACUAACGGUUCGUUUGUUCAACGAUUAAAACCCU
rnacentral:rRNA from 1 species